rnacentral:rRNA from 1 species
CUUGCCGCCGGCGACCGGCGCACGGGUGAGUAACACGUAUGCAACCUGGCCGUGACAGAUGGAUAACCGGGAGAAAUCCCGCCUAAUACAACAUAAUGCCGGGAGGGGACAUCCCCUGCCGGCCAAAGGGGGCGACCCCGGUCACGGAUGGGCAUGCGGCGCAUUAGGUAGUUGGUGGGGCAACGGCCCACCAAGCCGACGACGCGUAGGGGUUCUGAGAGGAAGGUCCCCCACAUUGGAACUGAGACACGGUCCAAACUCCUACGGGAGGCAGCAG